AUGGUGGAUGAAAGAAAUGGCUGUAUGACAUCUGUUUUGUUGCAAGAACAUGGUGACAAGUUGAGACCAGUUGCAUAUUUUUCAGGACGCCUUGAUGCGGUGGCCAGGGGCCUACCAGGAUGUCUCAGGGCUUGAACAGUGCACAUCUCACUUGUCUGCAGCAAGAUGGCUGCGUUAUUCCUGUGCAUUGUUUCAGAUGUCUAAUGUCACAGUUGAAAGAUGUACAGUGCUAAACCCGGCGACAUUGUUACCUACACCUGAUGAAGGUACACCACAUUGUUGUUUGUCUGCCCUACGGGAAGUAUGCACACCAAGGCCUGACCUUGCUGACACACCCAUACCUAAAUGCACCCUCACAUAUUAUGUGGAUGGUUCCUCUUCCAGAGAUGACAGAGGCAUAAAUAGGAUGGGGUGGGCAGUUGUGUCUGACUUUGAAGUAGUGAAAUCCGGAUGCUUACCACCUCACAAAUCUGCAAAGGUGGCUGAAUUGCAUGCACUAACACAAGCUUGUCAACUUGCUACUAAUCAAUCUCUAACCAUUUACAUUGACUGCUGAUUUUACUGACAGUUUCUCUCCUAUAACAAAUUUUACUCCUUUCUCAAAUAGCUGUGUGCAAAUGCAAAGCACACACCAAGGAACAGGACGUGAUCUCCAGAGGAAAUGCACGCACAUAUGCGGAAGCAUCUCUCAUGACUACUAACAAAAACGUUUCUCUUACACAGAUUUCCCAGGAAAAGGAAGCCGAAACACCACAGGAGUCACUAAUAAGCAUGCAAACAUUUUCUCUUCCAACAGAAAUAGCUCUAUGGAAAUCGUGUGGAGCAACCAAAACUCCUGAAGGGAUUUGGAUGGGUCCAAAUCAAAAACCUUGCUUACCUAAACAUUUUUAUUCCCAUUUUGCUAGGUUGACACAUGGGGACCACGGUGACAUGCGAUACUCUUCAAAAUGAAAAUGACAUGUUGCAAUAUUGUAUUUCUAUGUCCUCUGUAUUUCAAAAUAUCUCCAAAGCAGGUUAAAUCAGCCCUACCUCGUCCAGUAGAAGAACCAUUACACAACAUCAAACCAGGGGAUUACGUGGUGGUAAAGAACCUCAGGAGGAAAUCCUGGAAAGCCAGACGGUGGGAGGGGCCAUUUCAGGUUCUGCUGACGACUCACACCGCUGUGAAGGUCGCGGAGCGUGCCACAUGGGUGCACGCUGCCCAUUGCCGGAGGGUUGGUCCUGGACUGCAAGGUGUAAACCAAAGGGAGGACGGCUAGUCGACUGCUACGGACCACUUUUUCGUAUUGGUGGGAACCACAGAUACCUGUAUACUGCAAGUUUAUACGAAGAACGACACGAGAGAACUGCAACAGCUCACAAAGUAUUGGAGGACGACUCCAGUAUUCUGGGUUUGGUUUGGACACACGCACACGACAUCUUUAAUGAUAGCUUGGCACGACUGCACCGUGUGGUCCUACCAAACCCGAACCUACAAAGGAAAUUAAUCAACAAGGGCUCACGACCCCAACUCUAACUGUGCUCAGGGCUCACGACCCCAACUCUAACUGUGCUCAGGGCUCACGACCCCAACUCUAACUGUGCUCAAUCCGGAAUCAUCAAGGGCUCACGACCCCAACUCUAACUGUGCUCAAUUUCUUCAAGAAAACGAACUAUUUUUCUUCUUUCAAAAAAGAGAUUCAUGAUCAUACUAUGUGUGUGUGCAUUUUUACUUUUGCAACUGCACAGAACUAUAUGUACACUAUGGUUAAGGGUAAUAACCAGAGCUACGUAACGAUGACAGUAAAUGAAGUAAUGAAUAAAUCAUAAAAAGGGAGGAGUGUAGUGGAGGACUUUUAUUAUGCUUUUAUUUUCAUAUUAUUAUGUUUUAUUUUUCAUCCUAUUUUUCAUUUUUUAAUAACAAUCUGAAGCUCACAAAUUGUGAUUCAUAUGGAGAUCAUGUUUUUCUGCUAACGUACAGAAUUAUGCUCUUUCUGUCUUUUCAGCAAGUACAAUGUCCAAGGAAGGACUUAAACAUCAUGUACCAGCAUGUACUGUCCUUUAUGAUUAUGUUUAACGGUUUUUGCUCUUAAUCACUGACAACUGAAGGCUAUCUUCUAAAUGACGUAGAAACGGAUGAUUGUACGUGUUUCAGCAUCUUACUAUAAAUGUGUCUUCAACCUUGUGAUCGGGGCUCUUAGGUUUUUAAACUUCUAGCACCAUGGGGGUGAGAGCCUAUUCUGCAGAAUAUAUAAAAUUCAGACAAAGAAAAUUC